GGAGGGAGCACUAGGGUCGGAUGAGUGGCCACCAUUUGUGGUGUGGACUGAAGGUCUCAAAAUACAGCUAUGACAGUACUUGACCACAUAAUACAUGAUCAAUGAAAGCGCUCCUAUCUAUCCACAACUGCCAUGCUGUUAAUUAAUAAACCAAUCAGCAGCACGGGACUGUAAGGCUCCAGAUGGCUCCUCCUAAAACGAGGGGGCCUCUCGCCAUCCAAGCCCGAGGAGACUAUAUGGUCGCCUAAGUGGCCACCAACAGGCCAUGAGCAGGAGUGGAUCAGAGGCAGAGAGGGCUGGGAGCAUGGGAAGGCCAGGAGUGGAAAGGGCCAUUAUCAGGGGAGGCCAGAAACAAAGGAGGUACAUAACCAGGGGAGGGCCAGGAAUGGAGUUCCAGGAUACUUGGCGACAUAAAGUGACCCAAACCAUUGUGGACAAAAUAAAAUAAAAGAUACAGGGUAAAAGAAAAACCGAAAUCCAAACUUGUCUUAAAGAAAGAAAGUAAAAACAUAUGAAGCUGUUUUAUCUACUUGCAGGGCUUUUUUAAGUAAUUUCUGCACCGCAAAUAGAAGUAGAAAGCUGGGGAGAUAAUGGAAAGAAGGCAGUACGCGAGCUUAUGAUAGGAGUGGAGGGGAGACAAAGAGAAAUGUUGACGUGUGCAAACCUAAAUUGGACAAGUCAUUGCAUAGAGAAGCGAGUGAUGAGUCUUGCUAAUACCUUGAUCAAGUUGUUGCAUGGGGAAAUGAGUGAUAAGUCUUGCUAAUACCUUGAUCAAGUCGUUGCAUGGGGAAGUGAGUGAUAAGUUGUUAAUAAAUUGAUCAAGUUGUUGCAUAGGGAAGUGAGUGAUAAGUUGCUAAUACCUUGAUUAAGUUGUUGCAUAGGGAGGUGAGUGAUAAGUUGCUAAUUCCUUGAUCAAGUUGUUGCAAAGGGAAGUGAGUGAUAAGUUGCUAAUUCCUUGAUCAAGUUGUUGCAAAGGGAAGUGAGUGAUAAGUUGAUAAUUCCUUGAUCAAGUUGUUGCAAAGGGAAGUGAGUGAUAAGUUGCUAAUUCCUUGAUCAAGUUGUUGCAAAGGGAAGUGAGUGAUAAGUUGCUAAUUCCUUGAUCAAGUUGUUGCAAAGGGAAGUGAGUGACAAGUUGCUAAUACCUUGAUUAAGUUGUUGCAUAGGGAGGUGAGUGAUAAGUUGCUAAUACCUUGAUUAAGUUGUUGCAUAGGG